AUGAACGCUGGCGGCGUGCCUCAUUCCUUCCAGUCGAGCCAACAGACCAGGAUCUUUCUCCUUUUACGUUUGCGGCGGACGGGUUAGUAACCCGUUGAUAACCUACCUUUUAUACUUGGAUUACUUUGGGAAACCGGAUCUAAUUCCGGAUUACUUUUUUAACCCCCUUUUUUCACUGUUUAAUUCCGUCUUUCUUUUACUUAUUGCUUUAUCCGCGCGGCAUUAGCUAGUUGGUAAGGUAACGGCUUACCAAGGCAACGAUGCGUAGACGACCUGAGAGGGUGAUCGGCCACACUGGAACUGAGACACGGUACAGACUCCUACGGGAGGCAGCAGUAGGGAAUCUUCCGCAAUGGGCGAAAGCCUGACGGAGCAACGCCGCGUGAGUGAAGAAGGUCUUCGGAUCGUAAAACUCUGUUAUUAGGGAAGAAAAAAUGUGUAAGUAACUAUGCACGUCUUGACGGUACCUAAUCAGAAAGCCACGGCUAACUACGUG
rnacentral:rRNA from 1 species